rnacentral:rRNA from 1 species
CUACGUGCCAGCAGCCGCGGUAAUACGUAUGUCGCAAGCGUUAUCCGGAAUUAUUGGGCAUAAAGGGCAUCUAGGCGGCCAGAUAAGUCUGGGGUGAAAACUUGCGGCUCAACCGCAAGCCUGCCCUGGAAACUAUGUGGCUAGAGUACUGGAGAGGUGGACGGAACUGCACGAGUAGAGGUGAAAUUYGUAGAUAUGUGCAGGAAUGCCGAUGAUGAAGAUAGUUCACUGGACGGUAACUGACGCUGAAGUGCGAAAGCUAGGGGAGCAAACAGGAUUAGAUACCCUGGUAGUCCUAGCUGUAAACGAUGAUUACUGGGUGUGGGCAUGAAGAGUGUCCGUGCCGAAGCUAAUGCGAUAAGUAAUCCGCCUGGGGAGUACGGCCGCAAGGCUGAAACUCAAAGGAAUUGACGGGGACCCGCACAAGCGGUGGAGCAUGUGGUUUAAUUCGACGCAACGCGAGGAACCUUACCAGAUCUUGACAUCCUG